rnacentral:lncRNA from 1 species
AGAGCACAUGCGAACGAUAGGUUAGACCGCAUAUGGAAUCACCAUUAACUGUGUUUUCUUUUACAUAUUCAACAUCUCUUUGAUAAGGAUUAGAAGAACAUGUACCUGGUUAUGAAAGUUCAAACAACAGCCAACAACACAAUGAUCAAACCAGCAUCCAAUGUUCGCAGAUGGUUAACUGUAGUGCCACCAACAACCGGGCUCAUGGGAAUGCGGUUAUAUGUUGAUAAAACAUAUGUGGGAGUUUGUUGAGACAAUUCAACAUGACUUUAUUAAUCGUAAAUGGAAUACACAAGAGAAGACUUUGGGUGAGGAAAUUGAAUCUAUGGUCGUAGACUUAAUGGAGCAUUAGAUUAAGGAGGUGUUUGGGGUUCGGACAUGAAAUCCGUAAAGGUGUCUCAAGGAACUGAGUGAGGUUGUUUUUGCACAUGAUAAACAGAUAUUUGUCAAAAGCCAUCAGCGAGGGCCAUCUACAACCUCAACACUGUUUGGGUUAGUAUAACGAACUUUUCUUCUCUACAAUUCCGGUUGCAAGCAUGGAAAGACGUUGGUUUGGGUUAAAAGUAUGAAGACACCGGUCGGUUCAGGAAGUUAUUGUAUAUCACUUUCAUCUUUAGAGUUAUAUGUAUUGUUGUGUUACAGGAAAACUUUUGUCAUAUUGUGUUAUUUUGAAACCUUUGUAUUUUAUAUUCUUG